rnacentral:sRNA from 1 species
GUCAGCACCCCGCUCUGAAGAUAUGGGGCUUUAUGCCCUAAUCAAAAGAGAGAGUUGACUAGCUAUGGUUUUAACUGAUUAGGCGAUCGAAAAUAUGGGUGUAAGCCC